GACGAACGCUGGCUACAGGCUUAACACAUGCAAGUCGAGGGGAAACGAUAUUGGAAGCUUGCUUCCGAUAGGCGUCGACCGGCGCACGGGUGAGUAACGCGUAUCCAACCUGCCCACCACUUGGGGAUAACCUUGCGAAAGUAAGACUAAUACCCAAUGAUAUCUCUAGAAGACAUCUGAAAGAGAUUAAAGAUUUAUCGGUGAUGGAUGGGGAUGCGUCUGAUUAGCUUGUUGGCGGGGUAACGGCCCACCAAGGCGACGAUCAGUAGGGGUUCUGAGCGGAAGGUCCCCCACAUUGGAACUGAGACGCGGUCCAAACUCCUACGGGAGGCAGCAGUGAGGAAUAUUGGUCAAUGGGCGAGAGCCUGAACCAGCCAAGUAGCGUGCAGGAUGACGGCCCUAUGGGUUGUAAACUGCUUUUAUAAGGGAAUAAAGUGAGAGUCGUGACUCUUUUUGCAUGUACCUUAUGAAUAAGGACCGGCUAAUUCCGUGCCAGCCGCCGCAGUAACAC
rnacentral:rRNA from 1 species